rnacentral:rRNA from 1 species
AUUGAACGCUUGCGGCAUGCCUUACACAUGCAAGUCGAACGGUAACGGGUCCUUCGGGAUGCCGACGAGUGGCGAACGGGUGAGUAAUAUAUCGGAACGUGCCCAGUAGUGGGGGAUAACUGCUCGAAAGAGCAGCUAAUACCGCAUACGACCUGAGGGUGAAAGGGGGGGAUCGCAAGACCUCUCGCUAUUGGAGCGGCCGAUAUCAGAUUAGCUAGUUGGUGGGGUAAAGGCCUACCAAGGCAACGAUCUGUAGUUGGUCUGAGAGGACGACCAGCCACACUGGGACUGAGACACGGCCCAGACUCCUACGGGAGGCAGCAGUGGGGAAUUUUGGACAAUGGGCGCAAGCCUGAUCCAGCAAUGCCGCGUGCAGGAAGAAGGCCUUCGGGUUGUAAACUGCUUUUGUCAGGGAAGAAAUCUUCUGGGCUAAUACCCCGGGAGGAUGACGGUACCUGAAGAAUAAGCACCGGCUAACUACGUGCCAGCAGCCGCGGUAAUACGUAGGGUGCGAGCGUUAAUCGGAAUUACUGGGCGUAAAGCGUGCGCAGGCGGCUUUGCAAGACAGAUGUGAAAUCCCCGGGCUCAACCUGGGAACUGCAUUUGUGACUGCAAGGCUAGAGUACGGCAGAGGGGGAUGGAAUUCCGCGUGUAGCAGUGAAAUGCGUAGAUAUGCGGAGGAACACCAAUGGCGAAGGCAAUCCCCUGGGCCUGUACUGACGCUCAUGCACGAAAGCGUGGGGAGCAAACAGGAUUAGAUACCCUGGUAGUCCACGCCCUAAACGAUGUCAACUGGUUGUUGGACGGCUUGCUGUUCAGUAACGAAGCUAACGCGUGAAGUUGACCGCCUGGGGAGUACGGCCGCAAGGUUGGAACUCAAAGGAAUUGACGGGGACCCGCACAAGCGGUGGAUGAUGUGGUUUAAUUCGAUGCAACGCGAAAAACCUUACCUACCCUUGACAUGUCAAGAAUUCUGCAGAGAUGUGGAAGUGCUCGAAAGAGAACUUGAACACAGGUGCUGCAUGGCCGUCGUCAGCUCGUGUCGUGAGAUGUUGGGUUAAGUCCCGCAACGAGCGCAACCCUUGUCAUUAGUUGCUACGCAAGAGCACUCUAAUGAGACUGCCGGUGACAAACCGGAGGAAGGUGGGGAUGACGUCAGGUCCUCAUGGCCCUUAUGGGUAGGGCUACACACGUCAUACAAUGGCCGGUACAGAGGGCUGCCAACCCGCGAGGGGGAGCCAAUCCCAGAAAACCGGUCGUAGUCCGGAUCGUAGUCUGCAACUCGACUGCGUGAAGUCGGAAUCGCUAGUAAUCGCGGAUCAGCUUGCCGCGGUGAAUACGUUCCCGGGUCU